GGGUUGGGGCGUGGGGCAUCUUUCUUCUGUGCCCCCUGCCAGCCCUGGGUUUGGGUUGUGCACUGUGGCCUGGAGACACGGUCCUCUCUGGAGGGCCCUUCCCCUCACCAACAUCUCUUCAGACACGGUCACUUGCCUUAGGGAUCUGGCUUCUCCCUGGCAACUGUGGUGGCCCGUUUGAAUCCUGGUAGAGGCCAUGGAUGGGGAGAGAGAGAGCCUCCCUCUUUAGAUCCUUACUCCCCUGUGUGUGACACGAUACCGGCACGACCCGACGUGUGAAUGAGCUCCCGGUGGGUCCUUACCAACACUUGCCUGCCCUCUGCCCCCGCUGUCUUCUGCUGAGGGCAACCUUCUGUGCCCCAGAGCUUGCCCUGGCUCACUGCAUGGUGAGUGCACAUGGUGGUUCCUUCACUCAGCAAAUCUGUACCCACCGUGGGAGGAAAACGGAGUGUGGGCCAACUAGUGGUCGAGUGGCAUCGUUGCUCUCCCCUGGACAAUGUUCCCCAUGCUCCUGAGCCCCAGCGAUGAUUCCCUUCAGCAGCAGACACAGGUAUGUACCUCAGGGCCUCUUCCGUGAAAGUUGGGAGGUUUUCUGUUGUGGACACUGGUCAGGAGACAGGGUGGAAGUCUGGGGUGAGAUCCUGGCUCUGGCACCAGCUGCUGGGUGCCCUUAAGGCCAGUCCUGUUCCUCUCUGCCCCAGGUUCCUCCUUGGUAAAUUGGGGAGAGCCCAUUUCCUCCAACCGUCCCUGGCAUAUGGUGUCUGACUGGGAGGAUGCUUGGCAGGCUGCGCCAGGAGGGAUUUAAGGUACUUCCCAGCACGCUGGCUGAGUAGCAGCCCCAGGGCUGUGCGUGGACACGGACGGUGGGGGCAGCUCGAACUAUGCCAGGCCCCGCUUUCCUUGCUCUUCUGGAGUCGACCAGCAGUGACCUUGGACAGGAGUGCUUGGCUGGCGCGCGCGCAGGGAAAGGUCUUGCCCACUGGUCGCCAGGCUCCCGUAAGCCCUCCUGGGGGAGUCGCCGGCAGGGAGCGAGAGGCGAGGGCUGGUAGUGGGCAGCCUGCGGGGCGGCGCCCCCAGGGAGGCGCUGGGGGAAGGCCCGGGACCCGGCGGCUCCUGCUAGUGACGGGCAGUCGGAGCCCCAGCCCUGCAGGCAGCGCUUGCCCGAGGCCCCCGCGACCGCGCUCGGUUCGGCUGGGCUCGACUGAGUUCGGCUGAGCUCGGCUGAGCCCGCUUGGCGCGGAGCCCCCUGGGCGUUGUGGUUCUCGCGGCCGGUGGGUGGGAGCGCGUGCCGUCCCUGCCUCUGCACACGCCCCUUCCGCGCCUCAACGACGCGUCGGGGCGCCGGGAUGGGCUCGGCCCCGACGGGCAUCAGCAAUUGGUGGAGAGGCGGGGCCCAGGGACGCGACUGCCUGCGGAUUGGUCGGACCUGGCGGGGGCGGGCCCGCGCAUGCACUUAAGGAGAGGCGCCCCGGUCGAGCCGGGGUAGUGCCAAGAUGUCGGCGGCAGUGCCGGAGCUGAAGCAGAUCAGCCGUGUGGAAGCUAUGCGCCUGGGGCCGGGCUGGAGCCACUCGUGCCACGCCAUGCUGUACGCCGCCAACCCCGGGCAGCUUUUCGGCCGCAUCCCUAUGCGCUUCUCGGUGCUGAUGCAGAUGCGCUUCGACGGGCUGCUGGGUUUCCCCGGGGGCUUCGUGGACCGGCGCUUUUGGUCUCUGGAGGACGGUCUGAACCGGGUGCUGGGCCUGGGCCUGGGCUGCCUGCGCCUCACGGAGGCCGACUACCUGAGCUCGCACCUGACCGAGGGCCCGCACCGCGUCGUGGCGCACCUGUACGCACGGCAGCUGACGCUGGAGCAGCUGCACGCCGUGGAAAUCAGCGCGGUGCAUUCGCGCGACCACGGCCUGGAGGUGGGGCCGCCGCCCGGGCCCCGCCCCCCGCCCCGGGGGUUGGCUCUGGCCCCGUGGAAGGCACCGAUGGGUGCUGGGGCUUGUGCGGGUUCCACUUUACACCCAAAAGGACCGAGUUGGUGGCUUUCCCAACUUUCUGAGCAACGCCUUUACCAGCACUGCCAAGUACCAGCUGCUCUUCGCCCUCAAGGUGCUCAACAUGAUGCCCGAGGAGAAGCUGGCUGAGGCUUUGGCUGCUGCCACAGAGAAGCAGAAGAAAGCCCUGGAGAAGCUCCUCCCAUCUUCCUCCUGAGUCCACAGGCCGCUCCAGGACCUGGUAUGGAAGCACUGGCCGAGUGUGCAGAAUGACAACAGCAGAGCCACCACAGAUGGGAAGGUCACCACUGGCCGUCUCCUACGGCCCUCUGUCUGCAAAGACUCCUCAGUGAAGCUAAACCAGUUUGCACGGCACCUGCUUGGUCUGGUAAGGAGAGCUCUGCUCCGGCCCAGCCUGAGCGUCUGUUCCACCUUAAAGCCUCAGUGAAGCGGUCAGCACGUGUGGGCAAAGGCACUUCGUUCUGUAAAUAAAAUACCUGUACCUCG